AUUAAACGCUGGCGGCAUGCCUUACACAUGCAAGUCGAACGGCAGCACGGGGGCAACCCUGGUGGCGAGUGGCGAACGGGUGAGUAAAGCAUCGGAACGUGCCCUGAAGUGGGGGAUAACGUAGCGAAAGUUACGCUAAUACCGCAUAUUCUGUGAGCAGGAAAGCAGGGGAUCGCAAGACCUUGCGCUCUGGGAGCGGCCGAUGUCGGAUUAGCUAGUUGGUGGGGUAAAGGCCUACCAAGGCGACGAUCCGUAGCGGGUCUGAGAGGAUGAUCCGCCACACUGGGACUGAGACACGGCCCAGACUCCUACGGGAGGCAGCAGUGGGGAAUUUUGGACAAUGGGCGAAAGCCUGAUCCAGCCAUGCCGCGUGAGUGAAGAA
rnacentral:rRNA from 1 species